ensembl:piRNA 21ur-5237 ncRNA
UUGCGUGUAUAGUACGACUUA